GCCAAAAACUAGCCUGCACAACACACCAUAAAUCACUUCACACAAACUAAACCAUUUACCAAAUCCAGUAUAUGAGAUAGAACUUUAAACACAGCGCAAUAGCCCAAAUCGUACCACAAGGGAACCAUGAAAGACUAAUUAAUAACCACAAGCACAGCACAGCAGGGCUAAAGCCCCGUACCUCCUGCAUCAUGGUUUAGCCAGCAGCUCGCCGACAAAGUGCCCUGUGUCCGCCACCCCGAAACCAGACGAGCUACCUAAGAGCAAUCACCAAGAAUCAACCCAGGUCUGGGCAAAAGCGCGGGAUGACUUUUAGGUAGAGGCGAAACACCAACCGAGCUCUGGUGAUAGCGUCCCCCC
rnacentral:rRNA from 1 species